CAAGACGAUGAUUCAGUGACAUAUGGAAUUUGGAGGAGCCCUAAAGCCUGGCCUCUGUUUGCCAGUUGAGCAGAUCCUCAAGAAGUGUUGUGCACAGAGAGGGGGAUUAUCACCGAGUUGUUCAUGUGUGGAUUUUUGCUGAAAGUACACAAGAACUUCUUCUCCAACGACGUGCCGAUUGCAAGGAUUCGUCGCCUGGAUUCUGGGAUAUCUCCAGUGCAGGUCAUGUAUCUGCUGGAGAUACAUCGCUAAUCACUGCCAGGUGUUGAACCUUUGUAGUUGGUGGAAGUCCAGAAAAUUUAACAUGAAGAUGUAUUUCAACGUGAAGAUGUAUCGGUAACUAUUACUAGCUGGAGCAGAGACUAACAUUUGCUCGAAUAGUCGGGUUAUAUUCAUGAAUUGUUGAUUGGUUUUGAUUCUUAUUAUUUUCUUUAAUGUUUAAAUGUAAGAACUUUCUUUUAAACUCGUACCUACAUAGAUGCCAAAUGCAUGAUAAUACCAAAUGUUUAAAUGUAAGAGCUUUCCUUAAUGUUUAAAUGA